CUUCUCGUGGUGUAGGGGUUAUCACAUCAUGUUUACACCGUGAGGGUCGUCAGUUCGAUUCUGGCCGAGAAAA
rfam:Sphaeroforma arctica JP610 cont1.14119, whole genome shotgun sequence.